GACGAACGCUGGCGGCGUGCCUAAUACAUGCAAGUCGAACGAGCCUGUGACCAGGGUUUCUGGGGGGCGGGAGAGUGGCGCACGGGUGAGUCACACGUGAGUAACAUGCCCCCUUCUUCGGGAUAACGGUCUGACAGGGCUGCUAAUACCGGGUAUUCACUGGUCUCCGCAUGGGGUCUGGUGGAACGGUUUUUUUCUGGCGUGGGAUGGGCUCGUGGCCUAUUAGCUAGUUGGUGAGGUGACGGCCUAACAAGGCAACGAUGGGUAGCCGGACUGAGAGGGUGAUAGGCCAAACGGGAACUGAGACACGGUGCAGACUCCUACGGGCGGAAGCAGUAGGGAAUCUUCCGAAAAGGGCGAAAGCGUGAAGGAGCAAUGCCGCGUGAGUGCAGAAGGUCUUCGGAUCGUAGAACUCUGUUAUUAGGGAAGAAGAAAUGUGUAAGUAACUAUGGUCGUCUUGACGGUACCUAGUAAGAAAGCCACGGCUAACUACGUG
rnacentral:rRNA from 1 species